UGUUUACGUCCGACGGUAGAUCUUGUCUUAGUAUGAGAAAGAAGAUAAGGAGAGUGACGUUGUAAGAUUGAUUAAUCAGUCAGCUGGUUAGCCCUCACAAUAACAGAAUAACGGACCAGGAGACAAUACUGCUCUGAAUUGUUCCGAAAUUCGAAACACAGCUGACAGCGAUUUCAAGAAUGAACCAUACAACACUUAAUAAUUUAACCUCACAAAUGUGUCACCCUAGAGGUUGUAACGUUUCUAUUGUAAAUUACUCACUUCUUCAGACACUUCCUAGAAACAAGCUGGAAUGGAGCACGGCUCGUCACUUGUCCCGCCGAUGAAGGAGGUGCAGGGGGCGGAGAAGGUUGAGUUGGACUUUGUCCAACUCAUCAAUCAGCCUGUAGACAAACCCUGGGUGCCGCUGAGAGAGUAAAAGGAGGAUGCUCCCUACCCCAUUAUCAGCGCGAGGGAGCAUACGAAUAAACAUGGGCGACGAGUUAUUUUAAAAAUUAGCAAUGCACCAAGCAAAUCUGUGUGUGAGGUAUAUUUACCACAACGAUUUGCUUCCUGCAUUACCACGGAAAAAAUAGAACAAUUUAAUAAAAGUUGUAAAAAUUUGGUAAUGAUAGUAUCACAUAAGUCGGGGAAUUGGACCGAUAUAAAAAUUGUUAAGCAUUAACAAUUUCUCUAUCUAUACAAUUCAUCGACUUA
rnacentral:misc_RNA from 1 species